AUACACACAAUAAAGCUACAGUAAGUUGAUGAAGCCACAUAAACACAGUCUGACUUCUCGUUUACCUCACGUCUCAGUGUUUUAGACACAUAGCUGGUCGUUGGCUCUACAAUGCCUGUGCAAUCUGAUCUUCACAGUUACCUAAGAUUUAAUCAGUUUAACAAAGAUGUGUUUUGGCAUUUUGUUUAAAACAAAGUGCGUUUAAAAAUGUUUCCACGUCUAUUUUUGUGAUCAUCAUCCAUUCCCCAUCAUGUCAUUCAACCCUAAACAUGUUGCCCUCUUGCGGGUGCUUAACAAUUAUCCUUGUGUCUGCUUUAAUCCACACUGGAAGAUUUUAGCUUUAAAUGACGUAUGGUAGGCAAAAUAGUUUCAUUAUGGAAUUCAAAUAAAUUUGACUAAAUUUUUAAAAGAUGUCCACAAAUAUGUUGGUGUGUUUUAUGAACACGGCUUCAAAGAAAGUAAGACUAACCCACAUGACCACUGUGAUCAAUGUGCAUAUUCUGCCAAAGCCCACAGCGCAACAGUACUGUAUCAGACAGGAAGAAAAAGUGACAUGUUGAAGGAGUUAAAACAAACACAGCAGGAGGAAACUCUAUAGUGUCUUGAUACCCAAAAGAGAUUAAUAGCUCCCAGUUAAAAAGAACCGUAAUGUGAAUCCGUAAUUCAUCCCUUUAUGUGCAUUACUACAAGAAAAGAAAAAAACGAUAGAGAAAGAAUGUUCAACUUUUCUUUAUUUACUCAAUAAACCAAAUAUAUAAUUAAUGAAAAACAAUACAAAACACAACAUUGUGCAGAGAUUUAAAAUUCAAUAGGAAUUCCAAUAUUUUCAAAUAGCCUAUCAACCUUGAAAGCAAGAAAGAAAAAGUAGAGUGUGUUGCUCAUAAGGGGCUAUUCUCUGGUCAGUGGUCCUCUGUUAAGUUUGCUCAUGAAAGAGAUUAUAACUAAGCCCAGACAUGAGACAGCCGGAGAGAAGAGUGAUAAAUCUAGCGGAGUGUUGCAUUAAGGAGCAAGGCAGCUUUUAAUAGGAUCCAGUCCAAACAGAAAACAGCUAUGCUCUAAAACCCAGACAUUUAUUUCAGACUGCAAAAAAUGCCCCCGUGACACAAACCAGAUCGCUUUUAUUGGGGGCAAAAAAGACAAUGUUGUUCUGUACAGGAAAAUAAUAUUGCUUCGGUAAAGUAUUUGUGUGUGGAUAGAUCCGAAGAGUAAAUAAACUUGCAGGAAAUACAAAGCUGAGAGUGGAUGAUGAAGAUGAGGGGGUAGGGGCGUGUCCCCUGAGACUGGGAGUGGGGGAGAUGGGAAAACGAGAAGAGAAAAUGCCAAGACCACUGCUGGAGUCACGGGAGAAUGGCAUUGACAGUAAAUUCCGCAAAUCUGUUUCGUGUGAACACGAAAACAUAACCAGUCCGCUGUGGGAGGAGCGCAGCUUUUUGGCUUUAGUGUGAGUUGCGAUGUAAAUGCAGGAAACCUCUCUUAGAAAGUGUUGACUCUGGCAAAUCAGCGUGAUGUAGGUUUAUAAACAAGCAGAAUAAAAUCACACCUUUAAAUGAGAGUAACGUGUUUAUCAGGUCACGCUAGACUCUCGAAGGUUAAACUAUCAUAUUUUUAACAGCCCACUAAAUGGGAGGAUAUAUUUACAUGGGUCAGAAUCAAUAGGAUAGCAAAACCUGUUCCAACUUAACCUCUCUCCAAGUAAAAAUCCUUGAACAGGAGAACUGCAAAUAUUAUAGCUAGCCUUUACACCGACUGCUCUAUUAAAGUGAUCAUGUGUCACACACCUACAAGUCCUCUUUUAACACACAUUCAGGCCUUGGUGGAAAAGAAAAAGGAUGGUAGAUCUUUUCUGUAAUGCUCCUGCAAUGACCUGCCUGUGAUCUCAUGCUAAAAGGCUACGGUUGUGCCAGCCAAGGGGGAAAGAGCCACAGGAAGUGGUUAAAUCAUGAGAUCAGGAGACUGCGGCCUGGCACGGAGUCUGUGAACGAACAGUGGAGCAUGUGCUCUUAUGACAAGUGUGUGUGUCUAUGAUGGUGACCACGCCAGGUUGGUGAGGGCUGCGGCGGGUGCCACUGUGGGCAGUGCCCUCCUCGUCAGGCACCCCUGAUGGCAGCGUACCAGCAAGUUGGGUCACAACCUUACCCACCAUGGUCAGGCCCGUCUUCAACGUCUGACAGGAAGACAGAGACACAACAUUACAAAUAGAAAUAAAAAUGCUGUAGUGAUUUAUGAUAGCAAUACUUUUUUUUUUUAACAAUAUAAAAGAAAGCUAUGUCAUUUAUCCAAGAACUGAACCCAAAAACAAUUAAAUUUGGCCAAAAAAAAAAAAUGUAUAUAUCAGGCAAAUAUUUUUUUGAAAUGCUAAUUAGCAUUAAGUGCUGUUUAAAUGUAAGUGUUUUGGUCAAUAGUUUCAGCCAUCCAAAAACUUUUUUUUUUUGGUGCAUCACUUAUUUAGGAACACUGUAAUUUGUUUGGAUUUCACCUUUGAUAUGUUCUGAUCUUUAACCAUAGUUAUCAAUUUGGGGGAUGAUGUUACAGCCAAACCAAAACUUUUGAUAAUUACUUAUAAUUGUAAA